AUUGAACGCUGGCGGCAGGCCUAACACAUGCAAGUCGAGCGGAUGAAGGGAGAUUGCUCCUGGAUUCAGCGGCGGACGGGUGAGUAAUGCCUAGGAAUCUGCCUGGUAGUGGGGGAUAACGUCCGGAAACGGGCGCUAAUACCGCAUACGUCCUGAGGUAGAAAGUGGGGGAUCUUUGGACCUCACGCUAUCAGAUGAGCCUAGGACGGAUUAGCUAGUUGGUGGGGUAAAGGCCUACCAAGGCGACGAUCCGUAACUGGUCUGAGAGGAUGAUCAGUCACACUGGAACUGAGACACGGUCCAGACUCCUACGGGAGGCAGCAGUGGGGAAUAUUGCGCAAUGGGCGAAAGCCUGAUCCAGCAAUGCCGCGUGUGUGAAGAAGGUCUUCGGAUUGUAAAGCACUUUUAGUUGGGAAGAAGAGCAGUAAGAUAAAACCUGGAUGUCUUGACGUUACCAAAAGAAAAAGCACCGGCUAACUUCGUG
rnacentral:rRNA from 1 species